rnacentral:misc_RNA from 1 species
GCCUCCUUUGACUUGUUCUACAAUCUUUACUCCGUGCUUAUCAGCUUUUGUCAAGAACACUAUCAAAGUGGAUAAUAUCACAGAUAUAAGAGGAGCAAUGACUGGAAACCAGAAGAGCUUCUUGUUUCUCCUGCCAAUAAACCUGGCAAUUAGAAGGAAGAUAAGGAAUGNNNNNNNNNNNNAUCCCAGGACGAAAUUGAGAGGGCACCACGGAAGGUCUAUUGAUGUGAAAACAGACUCCAGGACAGAGACUACAUCAGUUUUAGUGGUGAAAUGACUGAUCCCAAGUAGACCUUUUAGUUGCUGAAGACCAAUAACUAUGGCUGCACCCCCCAUAAAUCCAACAAUGGCAGCAUGUGAAAGAAAGUCCACAAGAAAUCCCAACCUAAACAAUCCAAAUACAGCUUGGAAGAUUCC